CGCGAGCAACGACGACGUCAUCACGUCAUCCAAAAACAUGGCAGACAUUGGAUGAAUUUAAAAUAUCUUCAGCUGUGAGUGAUGAAGAAAAACAAAUCGGCCUCGGGGACAAUUAUUUGAAUAGUUCAAUUGAUAUUUUACGCACAAAAGUGAUGACCAAAAUGUCUUAUUAGGAAUUUCCAAAUCUGCCUUCUCCAUGUGGCCUUGUAUGGAAAUGGUAUUUUUGGACCGGGCGUCAGAUAAACUGCAGUACCGAAGCAAAACUAUAGGACCGGAACCCUGGCCCCUUACCAUAGGAAUGCAAGACAGGGGAAAACAACAGCAAGCCCAAAAUUCUCCGCUGGAGUCCUGUUUUGCACCGGGGGGAGAGCUGUGAUGGCAUCUGUUAUGGGAUCUUCUAGCUUGGAUGGAAGAUUGGAGGAGGGAACAAAUGGGAGUACAGUAGUUAUCCAGCCUGCUGACUAAGAAAUUUCUUGAAACAUGUCAAUGACCUCUAUAGCAAGUACUUGGCCAAGUUACCAGUGACCUAUUCCGCCACAUCGCAAGGAAAGGAGAGAGCAGAACCACCCCUCCUUAAAUCCAUAGUCAUUGACUAAGUUUAGUGUGCAAAAGUUUAGUGUGUUUUUUUCCCAUUUGAUCCUCUUAUCUUCAAUGUGUAUUGAAUCCUUCUAACCAGCUUUGUAAGAGCUAGGUUUGUACAGCUAUGCUGAUGAUCAUUAAUAAUUUAGCACGCCCAAUUUUUCAGUUUUUGAUUUGUUAAAAAAGUUUGAAAUAUCCAAUAAAUGUCGUUCCACUUCA